rnacentral:SRP_RNA from 1 species
GCCAGGCGCAGUGGCACGUGCCUGUAGUCCCAGCUAUUUGGGAGGCUGAGGCUGGAGGAUCACUUGAGUCCAGGGGUUCUGGGUUGUAGUGCGCUAUGCUGAUCGGGUGUCCACACUAAGUUCAACAUCAAUAUGGUGACCUCCCAGGAGUGGGGGACCACCAGGUUGCCUAAGGAGGGGUGAACUAGCCCAGGUCGGAAAUGGAGCAGGUCAAAACUCCUGUGCUGAUCAGUAGUGGGAUUGUGCCUGUGAAUAGCCACUGCACUCCAGCCUGGGCAACAUAGUGAGAUCCCUUCUCU